rnacentral:rRNA from 1 species
UGGGGAAUAUUGCACAAUGGGCGGAAGCCUGAUGCAGCGACGCCGCGUGAGGGAUGGAGGCCUUCGGGUUGUGAACCUCUUUCGCCAGUGAAGAAGGCGCUCUCCGUUGUGGGGGUGUUGACGGUAGCUGGAUAAGAAGCGCCGGCUAACUACGUGCCAGCAGCCGCGGUAAUACGUAGGGCGCGAGCGUUGUCCGGAAUUAUUGGGCGUAAAGAGCUCGUAGGCGGCUGGUCGCGUCUGCCGUGAAAUCCUCUGGCUUAACUGGGGGCGUGCGGUGGGUACGGGCCGGCUUGAGUGCGGUAGGGGAGACUGGAACUCCUGGUGUAGCGGUGGAAUGCGCAGAUAUCAGGAAGAACACCGGUGGCGAAGGCGGGUCUCUGGGCCGUUACUGACGCUGAGGAGCGAAAGCGUGGGGAGCGAACAGG